UACGUAGGGCGCAAGCGUUGUCCGGAAUUAUUGGGCGUAAAGAGCUCGUAGGCGGUUUGUCGCGUCUGCUGUGAAAACGCGAGGCUCAACCUCGCGCCUGCAGUGGGUACGGGCAGACUAGAGUGCGGUAGGGGGGAUUGGAAUUCCUGGUGUAGCGGUGGAAUGCGCAGAUAUCAGGAGGAACACCGAUGGCGAAGGCAGAUCUCUGGGCGGUAACUGACGCUGAGGAGCGAAAGCGUGGGAGCGAACAGG
rnacentral:rRNA from 1 species